AACAAGGCGUACCUGCGGACCUGCGGAAGGAUCAUUACAGAGUUCGUGCCCUCGCGGGUAGAUCUCCCACCCUUGUGUAUUCUCUACAUCUUGUUGCUUUGGCAGGCCGUUGGUUCGCCAACCACCGGCUCGCGGGCUGGUGCGUGCCUGCCAGAGGACCUCUCAAACUCGGUUUGUUAGUGUCGUCUGAGUACCAUAACAAUCGUUAAAACUUUUAACAACGGAUCUCAGAUCGGAAGA
rnacentral:misc_RNA from 1 species